UACAGAGGUCUCAAGCGUUGUUCGGAUUCAUUGGGCGUAAAGGGUGCGUAGGUGGCGCUGUAAGUCGGGUGUGAAAUUCGGAGCUUAACUCCGAAACUGCAUUCGAUACUGCGGUGCUUGAGGACUGGAGAGGAGACUGGAAUUCAUGGUGUAGCAGUGAAAUGCGUAGAGAUCAUGAGGAAGACCAGUGGCGAAGGCGGGUCACUGGA
rnacentral:rRNA from 1 species